rnacentral:rRNA from 1 species
CCGCGUGGAGGAUGAAGGCCCUCUGGGUUGUAAACUUCUUUUAUUAGGGAAGAAACCGGUUUUUUCUAAAGCCGUUGACGGUACCUAAUGAAUAAGCACCGGCUAACUCCGUUC